AUAAUUUAUCAAAAAUACUGUGUUGUGGCAAGCCAUUUCCUUGAAAGCGAUUUCGGCCCGACAAGAUGCAAAUCGUUAAGGCCGGUCACCCCCGAAGGUUCUACAGCACCUCCAAACGCAUGCACUCGUGGCGGGAAGUUUUGAAUUUGCCAUAAAACAUAUGCACAAAACAGUUGCCCAGAAAGAAGAGAAGAUGGAGACAUUUUUUGUAAUUGUUACAG
rnacentral:lncRNA from 1 species